rnacentral:RNase_P_RNA from 1 species
GCCGCUCCCCGGACGGUCGCAAUCGGGCGCAAGCUGCAGAUUGAGGAAAGUCCGGACACCAUCGGGCAGCGCGCCUCGUGAAAGCGAGGGACGGAAGCCGUGAGGCAACCGGACGGAAAGUGCAGCAGAAAAAAUACCGCCGAUGGCCGCAAGGCACAGGUAAGGUUGAAAUGGUGGGGUAAGAGCCCACCGCGCCAAGGGCAACUGCGGCGGCAUGGAAAACCCCGCGCGGUGCAAGACAGAACAGAAUAGGGCGGCCCGCCCGUUAGAAAUUCAGGUAUUAGUCGCAUCCUGCGCAAGCAGGGCGCUCCGCCUCGGCAGAGUGAGAGAAAUGGCCGUCCAGCCCGGCAACGGGUGGACAGAAUCCGGCUUACAGGGGAGCGGCAUCC